rnacentral:rRNA from 1 species
AGCGCAACCCUUAUUUAUAGUUUCUAAAGCGUCAUGGCGAGAACUCUAUGGAGACUCCCGGUGAUAUACCGGAGGAAGGUGGGGAUGAGGUCAAGUCUUCACGGCCUUUAUGUCCAGGGCUACACACGUGCUACAAUGGCCGGUACAGAGAGUCGCGAUUCAGCAAGGUGGAGAUAAUCUCUAAAACCCGUUUUCAUUUGGGAUUUCAGUGUCCAACUCGAUUGCAUGAAGUUGGAAUCGCUAGUAAUCGCGGAUCAGCGCGCCGCGGUGAAUACGUUCCCGGGCCUUGUACACCCCGCCCGUCACAUCAGGAAAGUAGGUUGCACUAGAAGUCGGUGGUCUAACCAGCAAGGGAGGCAUCCGCGAUAAAGUGUGAUCGGUAAUUGGGGUG